rnacentral:snRNA from 1 species
GAGUGUUACAGCUCUAUUAGAAUUUAUUUGUCUAGCAGUUUUCUGGUCCUCACCGUAAGACCCC